UUCUUCCCCCUACCACUCUCCUCAAGAUUACGCACCUACCAGUCCUGUGAAUUUUCAAUAAAAUUACAUAUUACUCAUACUAGGUCUCCCUCAUGUUUAUUUCAUGUCAUUUUUAUCCACAACAGAUGGAUGUUUGUGACAGUGUCAGACUUCCCAGAACAGGAAGCAUCCAUUUCUGCUUUUCCGUCUUCACAGCAAGUUGUGAAUAAAUUCACAUAUUACCCUCAAUGAAGGACAAAUGUCGAGCAAUGAAUUGAUCCACCCGAAUAGGCAAGUUUUCAUGCUUGAAGAGCCCACGUUUGAUGUUUUUGAACUCUGCUUCAACAUUGGCUGAACUUGCAGUGAUGUUGGUGCUUCGGAAGUGAGGGAUCAUUACCCCUGUCCAGAGUGGUCAGUCUGUGUUUGGUCAAAUGGAUGCACUUCUUCCAGGUCCUCACACUCUACAUCUGGAAUGAUUACACACUCUUCUGCAAUUCUGGCUUUCAGUCCCACUGGCAGACCAUCUUGAUGCAGUGUGCAACAUCAACCUGAACAAACAAGGUGGCACUUUUGCUGACACUUUACCGACAUUUGCACCACUGGGACACUUGAACUCUCAUCCCCUGCCAGAACACCCUGAUAUAAGAAGAUAUGGCCAGACAUGCCAUUUGGUUUCUGUAGUUUCCUCACCACUGAGCCAGUUGCAUCAAAACUCACAGUGGGGGUGGCCAAAUUAGGAAGAUGGCUUGGUUCAGGAUCUCCAAAAUCCAUCAGCUUUGUUGCCUUUGAUGCCCUCCAUACAUGGGGUUCCAUUCUACCCUCACAAAGUUCCUUGGCUGUCUGCACAUGCAAGUUACCAGACAUCAGACGCUUCGAACAUCCAGUGUGCAGCACCUCAGCAUGCAAGCACACCAGAAAAAAUGUGUGAAUAAUAAAAAGUAAGUGAUUGUACUGUGGAACCAUCUCAAGGAAGUGUAGUAAAGGUUAGUGCUAACAGUGGUUUGAACCCAUUAGUCUGACUAACAUGACCUGGAUAUGAACCCUGGAUCCUACUGUUGUGCUUGCAUUGUUGUGCUAGUAAGUAAGGCACUAUAUAAGUAAGGCAUUAUACAAAAUGUCAUAAAAAU
ensembl:lncRNA